rnacentral:rRNA from 1 species
UACGUAGGGUGCAAGCGUUGUCCGGAAUUAUUGGGCGUAAAGAGCUCGUAGGCGGUUUGUCGCGUCUGCUGUGAAAUCCCGAGGCUCAACCUCGGGCCUGCAGUGGGUACGGGCAAGCUAGAGUGUGGUAGGGGAGAUUGGAACUCCUGGUGUAGCGGUGGAAUGCGCAGAUAUCAGGAAGAACACCGAUGGCGAAGGCAGAUCUCUGGGCCAUUACUGACGCUGAGGAGCGAAAGCGUGGGGAGCGAACAGGAUUAGAUACCCUGGUAGUCCACGCCGUAAACGUUGGGAACUAGAUGUAGGGACCAUUCCACGGUUUCUGUGUCGCAGCUAACGCAUUAAGUUCCCCGCCUGGGGAGUACGGCCGCAAGGCUAAA